rnacentral:rRNA from 1 species
GAUGAACGCUGGCGGCGUGCUUAACACAUGCAAGUCGAACGAUGAUCCGGUGCUUGCACCGGGGAUUAGUGGCGAACGGGUGAGUAACACGUGAGUAACCUGCCCUUAACUCUGGGAUAAGCCUGGGAAACUGGGUCUAAUACCGGAUAUGACUCCUCAUCGCAUGGUGGGGGGUGGAAAGCUUUAUUGUGGUUUUGGAUGGACUCGCGGCCUAUCAGCUUGUUGGUGAGGUAAUGGCUCACCAA